CCACGGCCUCGGGCUCCGCGCCCUCAGCCCUUCCGCGGGCGGCUUCGCGCGGCCCGAGGGCCCGGGGUGCGCGUGACUGCGGUCUGCGGGGCGAAGGGCGUGCCUCCCGCGGCCGAGGGCGCGGAACAGGGACGCCCCGGCCUCGGGGCCGCCGCUCGCAUUUCCCUUCGUGGUCGCGAACGCCGCCCGCCCGCCCGCCGGGGAGGCGCCCGCGCCCGGCGCGAUGGGUGCCAACGAGGACCAGGAGAUGGAACUGGAAGCAUUACGUUCUAUAUAUGAAGGAGAUGAAAGUUUCCGGGAAUUAAGUCCAGUUUCAUUUCAAUAUAGGAUAGGUGAAAAUGGUGAUCCCAAAGCCUUCCUCAUAGAGGUUUCCUGGACAGAAACAUAUCCCCAGACCCCUCCAAUCAUAUCCAUGAACGCUUUCUUCAACAACACCAUAUCCUCAGCCGUGAAGGAGAGCAUAUUAGCCAAGUUACAGGAAGCGGUGGAAGCCAACCUCGGCACUGCCAUGACCUACACGCUGUUCGAGUACGCCAAGGACAACAAGGAGCAGUUCAUGGAGAAUCACCAUCCCGUGAACUCUGCGACAUCCAUAAGCAAUAUCCUCUCAGUUGAAACUCCUAAUGUAGCCCCAUCCAGUAAGAAAAAAGACAAGAAGGAACAGCUUACAAAAGCCCAGAAACGCAAGCUGGCAGAUAAAACAGAUCACAAAGGGGAGCUCCCUCGAGGCUGGAACUGGGUGGACGUGGUGAAGGUACACAAUCCUUACUUCCCGCCUCACGCCCUAUGGCAUUGCCAUCAGUACUGACGCUUUCUCUCCCGUUUUCUCCCCCCGCCUCUGGGUUUCCCUGGGACGUCUGUUUCCUCUCCUACACUCAGCAUUUAAGCAAAAGUGGCACUAAAGAUGAUGAAUAGCACUUGGAAUUGGAAACAAGGGAAGAGCAUCCUUAAAAAGUAAACUGGGUUCAAACUCGUCACUCUUUUCUGGCAUUGAGGUGGCUUUUUAUAAAACAAUUUUUUUGUAUGUUUCUUACAUAAAAAUGUUUUCAGCUGAAAGUUCAUGAAGAGAUUUGGUUGUAUUAAAUUAUUUUCACAAACUUGCCUUAAUAAAAGGUGAAAUGUUACUGUUUAAUAUACUUUGGAAGCCUUUUGAGCGUUGUCAGUGGAAUAAGGGGAAUAAUAAGGAAUCAGUGUUAACUUAUAUGAUCUUAUUCUAAUGGAUGUGAUUACUUUUUUUUUUAAAGACUUUUCCAAAACUCCUGUCCCAGGGAAUAGAGCACUGAGUGAACAAUUAUUCUGAAGCAUGAUCCAGAUUCAUAAGCUUCUCCUCUUAAUCAAGUGUUCAUCUCUUCUUUCUCCCCAUUACUGAGGCAUAACUUGCUUCAGAAAAACUUAAAUCCUGGUAUUUGAGCUUUACACAUAAUAUUCUUUGUAAUGCCUCCCAACCCCACCCCAGGGUGAACUGCUUCCCUGUAAUAAGUGAAUAUUGGUUUAUGCUUUUCUCUCAGUUUGGGUCAUGAUGUUUGAUCAUGAGAGCUUUCCAUGGUGUGUGGAAGAGGAGAAUAUAAAAACGGAUCUGUCUCAUACAUCAGACAGCAUCUGAACAGAAGUGCUGGUUCCAAUUUAAACGUUUCUCUUCAUUGCACUACCAAGACAGGAGUACAAGAUGCCUUAAUCUUUAAUUUUUGUAUUGUUGGAGCCAGUGGUCUUAAUAAAUUCCUGUUUAUCUGCUAUCGUAUAUCUUUUGUUGUUUGGUAACUGAGGUCUUGUAAAUUACUUAGCAUACAACCACGUUCCAUGUUUUGUUCCAAGUGUUCAAAUGCAUUUCUCACCCCGAGCAUCGUCGUAAUAAUAGAAGUGUUUCAAAUGCUGAACUGUAGUACAUGCUUGAUUUUUUUUUAAUCAUUAAAAGAGGAAACCGUUAGUGCAAUUUUUCCAGGGGGUUGCUGAUGCCUUUGUGCGUUUUACAGUGAUUCUGUUUCUGCUCCCAGCUUUAAAAAUACUUAGGGCUGCUGCUGCAGGGUCCCAAAAAGACGUUGCUGGUUCCUCAGCUGCACUGUGCGGUGUGGGUCUGCGUUGUUGAAGAACAGUUAUGGUUUUCAAAAGUUUCCUUAGCAUAAGAGCAGUCUGAGUUGUGUUCAUGGUUUUUACUGAGCUAACACUGGCUUCAGUUAAAUUAUGAAGUAAUUAUAAUUAUGGUGAAGAAAUUUAACCUCAUUUUUAAAAGCUGAGUAGCAUUUUAUUUCUUGAAACUAGAGGCCCAGUGCACAAUUUGCGCACAGGUGGGGUCCCUCAGGAUGGCCUGUGGGGAUUGGGCCCCAGAUUGCGCCCCCAUUCUCGCAGCCCCGCAGCCCUACCUGGCACCCCGCCCGGCUCCAUCAGCACCUGGGAGCCAGGCAGCAGCCCCGCCCCCCAUCACCGCCACUGGUUGCCAUCUGCGGGGCGAUUGGUCAGGGUCAAGCCCCUGCCACCGCUGCUGCUGGUUGACAUCUGCUGAGCAAUUGGCAGGGCAGUUGGGCCCCCGCUCACACCCGCCUUGGCCUGGCACCGCCCACUCACCUGCUCCACCAUCCCGCCCUGGUCCGGCUCUCGUUGAGGCCCAUCGGGGUUCUCAGCACCUCCACUGCCGCCCACACCGACCCCUGGUGGUCAGCCACAUCAUAGCGAGCAGUCGAACUCCCAAGGGGACAAUUUGCAUAUUGGGCUUUUAUAUAGAGGUAAUAUGAUAGAAACAUUAAAAUUCAGGGCUACUGAAAUAUGCCGACUUUGUUUUGGGGUUGUGUUCGUACUUUUUUAUUGUGUUGAUUUGUCUGUUGUUUUUAAAGAAGCUACUACAUCUGCUAGUGGAAGAAAAGCCUUUGUUUUGCUCCGAAGAGUCUGAAACUGUUCAAGCUUAUCACGGUUCAUAGAUUACAAAGAAUAACGCUAGUAAAAUGCCAAUGAACUAUUUUUACUCUUUUUAUAUGACAUGUACAGAUUCCGGGAGGCAAUGGUGGCAGUGUGCCUCUUACCUCCUUAUGUGACUCUUGAACAUUCUCUCAUCAAUAGUGCCAUCACUGUUCAACACUCCCAGUAUAUUUUCUCAAACUGUUUACUUAAAGUUGUAUGGAAUGGCAUAAUUAAUAAGCAAUAAAAUCUGGACUACACACAA